AUGGCCUACGGGAGGCAGCAGUGGGGAAUAUUGCACAAUGGGGGGAACCCUGAUGCAGCGACGCCGCGUGAGUGAAGAAGUAUUUCGGUAUGUAAAGCUCUCUCAGCAGGGAAGAAAAUGACGGUACCUGACUAAGAAGCCCCGGCUAACUACGUGCCAGCAGCCGCGGUAAUACGUAGGGGGCAAGCGUUAUCCGGAUUUACUGGGUGUAAAGGGAGCGUAGACGGCAGAGCAAGUCUGAAGUGAAAGCCCGCGGCCCAACUGCGGGACGGCUUUGGAAACUGCCCGGCUAG
rnacentral:rRNA from 1 species